rnacentral:tRNA from 1 species
GCCUGAGUGGCUCAGUCGGUUGAGCGUCUGACUUUGGCUCAGGUCUCACGGUCUCACGGUCUGUGAGUUCGAGCCCUGCGUCGGGCU